rnacentral:rRNA from 1 species
UACGAAGGGGGCGAGCGUUGUUCGGAUUUACUGGGCGUAAAGGGCGCGCAGGCGGCCAUGUUUGUCAGGCGUGAAAGCCCCGGGCUUAACCUGGGAACUGCGCUUGAUACGGGAUGGCUAGAGAUCGGGAGAGGAGAGUGGAAUUCCCAGUGUAGAGGUGAAAUUCGUAGAUAUCAGGAGGAACACCGGUGGCGAAGGCGGAUCUCUGGGCCUUACCUGACGCUCAGGUGCGAAAGCUAGGGGAGCGAACAGG